CACGUAGGGGGCAAGCGUUAUCCGGAUUCACUGGGUUAAAGGGUGCGUAGGUGGGUUUGUAAGUCAGUGGUGAAAUCUCCAAGCUUAACUGUGAACUGCCGUUGAUACUAUAAAUCUUGAAUGUUGUGGAGGUGAGCGGAAUAUGUCAUGUAGCGGUGAAAUGCUUAGAUAUGACAUAGAACACCAAUUGCGAAGGCAGCUCACUACACAAAGAUUGACACUGAGGCACGAAAGCGUGGGGAUCAAACAGG
rnacentral:rRNA from 1 species